rnacentral:rRNA from 1 species
AAACCAACAGGGAUUGCCUUAGUAGCGGCGAGUGAAGCGGCAAAAGCUCAAAUUUGAAAUCUGGCACCUUCGGUGUCCGAGUUGUAAUUUGAAGAUUGUAACCUUGGGGUUGGCUCUUGUCUAUGUUUCUUGGAACAGGACGUCACAGAGGGUGAGAAUCCCGUGCGAUGAGAUGCCCAAUCCUAUGUAAGGUGCUUUCGAAGAGUCGAGUUGUUUGGGAAUGCAGCUCUAAGUGGGUGGUAAAUUCCAUCUAAAGCUAAAUAUUGGCGAGAGACCGAUAGCGAACAAGUACAGUGAUGGAAAGAUGAAAAGAACUUUGAAAAGAGAGUGAAAAAGUACGUGAAAUUGUUGAAAGGGAAGGGUUUGAGAUCAGACUCGAUAUUUUGUGAGCCUUGCCUUCGUGGCGGGGUGACCCGCAGCUUAUCGGGCCAGCAUCGGUUUGGGCGGUAGGAUAAUGGCGUAGGAAUGUGACUUUGCUUCGGUGAAGUGUUAUAGCCUGCGUUGAUGCUGCCUGCCUAGACCGAGGACUGCGAUUUUAUCAAGGAUGCUGGCAUAAUGAUCCCAAACC